rnacentral:lncRNA from 1 species
AAUAUCUUAAACUAGGUAAUUUAUAAACAAUAGAAAUUUAUAUUGCUUAUAAGUUCUGGAGACUAAGAUCAAGGUACUAGUAGAUUGGGUGUCUAAUAAGAGUUUGCUGUCUACCUCAAAGAUGGUGUAUUCUCUUACAUCCUCACAUGGUAGGACUAAGGUAGCUCCCUUCUUCCUCUUUUUUAAGGCACUAAUCCCAUUCAUAUGGACAGAAUUCAUGAUUCACUCAUUUCCAAAAGGCCCCACUUGUUAAUACUAUCACAAUGAGUAUUAGGUUUCAAGAAUUUGGGGGGUGGGCAGGUUCUGUGCACCCCUAUAAUCCCAGUUACUCAGGAGGCUGAUCAGAUAAUAGUGUGACCUCUGCAGAGCCAGAGUAAACACAAAAGCCAGGAGGAUCACAAGUUCAAGGCCAGCCUGCGCAAUUGAGUGAAACUUGAACUAAGGGCUGGGGAUGAAGCUCAGUGGUAGAGUGCUUGCCUGGUGUGUGUGAGGCCCUGGGGCCUCAUAUCCCCUUUGUGGGGAGCAGGAUGAGGGAACAGGACACAUUUAGGCCAUGACAGGAUUCAGAGUAACUGCUGGCAGGAUCAUGGAGUGAAUAAAGGGGGCCAGGAACUGAUGAGCCAUAAUAAUAUGGGACAUGUUGAAUGAAGAGUAUUUGUAGGACAUCCAAAUGGGGUCAUCUAAGAGGAGAGAGAGAUUAAUUGUUGUGGCCUCACAGAACAAUCUGGUCUUUAAGUAGAGAUAGCAUCAUGGAACAGGAUGGUGUCAAGGGAGGUUAGAAGUAGGAGGCUAGGCAGGGAAGCUAAAGGGAACCCAGCAACAUUUAAGGGACAAACUAAAGAAGGUGCUGAAGAGAUGCUUGGUGAAGCAGGAAAAAAAUCCAGUAGAAUGUUGUGUUGUAGAAGCUAAGGAGGAAGCAGCCAACAGCAUAAAAUGACACACCAGUGGGAUUCAGUACCCAGUAGUUCAGUGAUGGGUGAAGUUUGAGGUGUGGCAGCUAUAGAGAAGGAGAAGUGAAUGGAGUAGAGCCAGCUGGUAAAAUGACCACUCCCUCAAAAGGGGCUUCCAGGACAAUGAAAUGUAAAAGAUGAUAUGGACCUCAGAUAGAAGGGAAAAGAGGGGAAAUGGUUGCCAGGGUCUGGGGCAACCAGGACAAAUGAAGCAAGAGAAGAGGAAGAACCACCAGAGCAGUGCUGAAAGAAAGGAAGGAACUUGCCAAGGCAAGGGCAUAGGACAGACAGGUCAGGGCAGACAGAAUCCCAUUAACCCUAUAAGAUGGCUCCUCAGAUGCUCAGUGCACACUGUCUCUUCAGCACAGACAUCCCAAUCUAAAGGUUGGAAGGAAAAGGCCUUCAUUACUUUCUCACCAAGAAAUAAUGCCCUUCAACACAAGUGCAGUAUUAAGAGUGCAUUAAGGGCCAGGUGUGGUGACACGCACCUGUAAUCCUAGUGAAUGAGGAUGCCAAAGCAGGACUGUUAAGUUCAGGGCCAGCCUCAGCAAUUUAGCAAGCCCCUGUCUCAACAUAAAAAAUUAAAAGGACUGGGAUACAGCUCAGUGGUAAAGUGCCCCUGGGAUCAAUCCUCAGUAUCAAAACAAAAAAAAAAUAUAUACACACACACUCCAAACUGGGAGAGCCCCUAUGGUUGCAACCCUAGGAGAAAAACGAGACCAGGAACUGAAGAGUCAUGCUAACAUGGGACAUGUUGAAUGAAGAGUGCCUGCAGGAUAUCUAAGAGGGUCAUCUGAUAGAGGAUAGAUUAACUGGUGUGACCUCAAGGGACAAUCUAGUCCAUAGGUGGAGAUUACAGAAUCUGGACCUAUGUGAGGGCCUGAACUAAACCUCCUUUAUCUUUGCCCAACACCCAGCCAUCCCAGAGCUUGUCCUGUAUUUGCAAUGCUACUUCAUUUGAGUGUCCCUGUGAGCACUCCCUGUUGGACCCAUCCCUGGCUCAGAGAAACUUCAGUCUAAUGAAAAAGCUAAGCAAAGCACCAUAGGGACUUGGAAGGGCAGAGUUAAGAAAGGCUUCCUUGAAUAGGCUGCAAAAAUGAGCCUGGCCAGAAGAAGGCCAUUCUGCAGAGCAGAGUUGGGCAGAGGGAGGGCACUCUUGUAGUGGUACCCCAUUUCUCCACAGAAAAUCUUAACUAGCCUUCUCUAGAAAUCUUCACCAUGGCUAAUUUUAGGACCGUCAGCAAAAGGGUUUCUACAAAAGAAUUCAAUGUAGAUAAACUUCCUAUUUUCGUGUCAUCCUGUUUUACUUGGCUGCUAGUCUGGAAGAAAUCAGCACUCCUGGUGCUGAACACACUCUUACUAGGUUUUCAGAAACAUGUAUGCAGUAUAGUAGUUUAUAGAAAUGUGUAAACAAGGCCUUUGGGCCUUGAGCUGGAGCUUCACAGAGAUGUUUACAUUUCUAAGACAAGAGGAGUUACCAAUUGGGCUCCAUGGUAACAGCUGAGGGGGCGGGGGGAGAAAGGGAAGAAAAAGCUCUCCCCUUCUCAGGUGUUGUCCUAGAAGGGUUAACUUGUCCAGAACAGUGAUAGAAAAAGCUGCUUUUAUGUAAACUUCUGUGAUUGAGAACUUCUGAGCCCCUCCCUUACAUGCUGAAUAUAAAAUUCUGAAACUACCUGAACUUGGGGUUCAGGGGAUUGAUUGAUUGAUUACAGCAAAAGCUGUGCCCUGUGAACCUGGCUGCAGCCAAAUAAAACUGUUUCC